rnacentral:rRNA from 1 species
CAAUAGCGUAUAUUUAAGUUGCUGCAGUUAAAAAGCUCGUAGUUGGAUUUCGGGUGGGAAUGGCCGGUCCGCCGUUUCGGUGUGCAGUUGCUACGCCCACCUUGCUGCCGGGGACGUGCUCUUGAGUUCACGCUCGGGACACGGAGUCGGCGAGGUUACUUUGAGUAAAUUAGAGUGUUCAAAGCAGGCCUACGCUCUGAAUACAUUAGCAUGGAAUAACACGAUAGGACUCUGGCCUAUCUUGUUGGUCUGUAGGACCGGAGUAAUGAUUAAGAGGGACAGUCGGGGGCAUUCGUAUUUCAUUGUCAGAGGUGAAAUUCUUGGAUUUAUGAAAGACGAACUACUGCGAAAGCAUUUGCCAAGGAUGUUUUCAUUAA